AAUAAAACACUGAGUUGAAAUAACCACAUAGAUAUUGAAUUAGUGCACUACAUGGAAGUCAUGUGAAUAAUGUCUCCUACAAUCUACAUAGUCCACUAGAUAUCAUAUACUGCAUUGUUUGAGACAGCUAGCCUAUUAGCCCGAAAGCUACAUAUUCACAAAGCAGAGAUAUGUCCUAGCGAGCUAGCUAGCCACAGAAAUGGACUUAUGGACAUAUAAAGCUCAAUGCUACACCCACCUGGACGCUACAUUCUUUGCCCUGGAGAGGUUUCACUGUCAAGAUCAUCUUGACAGUUGAUUAAUAAAACGAA